rnacentral:rRNA from 1 species
CGGCGCACGGGUGAGUAACACGUAUGCAACCUGGCCGUGACAGAUGGAUAACCGGGAGAAAUCCCGCCUAAUACAACAUAAUGCCGGGAGGGGACAUCCCCUGCCGGUCAAAGGGGGCGACCCCGGUCAUGGAUGGGCAUGCGGCGCAUUAGGUAGUUGGUGGGGCAACGGCCCACCAAGCCGACGAUGCGUAGGGGUUCUGAGAGGAAGGUCCCCCACAUUGGAACUGAGACACGGUCCAAACUCCUACGGAAGGCAGCAG